rnacentral:rRNA from 1 species
GUGGGGAAUCUUGCGCAAUGGGCGAAAGCCUGACGCAGCCAUGCCGCGUGAAUGAUGAAGGUCUUAGGAUUGUAAAAUUCUUUCACCGGGGACGAUAAUGACGGUACCCGGAGAAGAAGCUCCGGCUAACUUCGUGCCAGCAGCCGCGGUAAUACGAAGGGGGCUAGCGUUGCUCGGAAUUACUGGGCGUAAAGGGUGCGUAGGCGGACAGCUUAGUCAGAGGUGAAAGCCCAGGGCUCAACCUUGGAAUUGCCUUUGAUACUGGCUGUCUUGAGUUUGGGAGAGGUGAGUGGAACUCCGAGUGUAGAGGUGAAAUUCGUAGAUAUUCGGAAGAACACCAGUGGCGAAGGCGACUCACUGGCCCAAUACUGACGCUGAGGCGCGAAAGCGUGGGGAGCAAACAGGAUUAGAUACCCCAGUAGUCC